GACGUAGGGCGCGAGCGUUGUCCGGAUUUAUUGGGCGUAAAGAGCUCGUAGGCGGCUCGUUGCGUCGGCUGUGAAAACCCGCAGCUCAACUGUGGGCUUGCAGCUGAUACGGGCGGGCUGGAGUUCGGUAGGGGAGACUGGAAUUCCUGGUGUAGCGGUGAAAUGCGCAGAUAUCAGGAGGAACACCGGUGGCGAAGGCGAGUCUCUGGGCCGAUACUGACGCUGAGGAGCGAAAGCGUGGGGAGCGAACAGG
rnacentral:rRNA from 1 species